rnacentral:rRNA from 1 species
UGGGGAAUUUUGCACAAUGGGGGAAACCCUGAUGCAGCGACGCCGCGUGAUUUAGAAGGCCUUCGGGUUGUAAAAAUCUUUUUUACGGGAUGAAAAUGACAGUACCGUAAGAAUAAGGUCCGGCUAAAUACGUGCCAGCAGCCGCGGUAAUACGUAUGGACCGAGCGUUGUCCGGAAUCAUUGGGCGUAAAGGGUACGUAGGCGGCCUAGUAAGUUAGAAGUGAAAUAAUAUAGCUCAACUAUAUAAAGCUUUUAAAACUGCUAGGCUUGAGAGAUGGAAGGGAAAGUGGAAUUCCUAGUGUAGCGGUGAAAUGCACAGAUAUUAGGAAGAAUACCGGUGGCGAAGGCGACUUUCUGGUCAUCAUCUGACGCUGAGGUACGAAAGCGUGGGUAGCAAACAGG